GGGAACGAAUACAGACCCGGGGGAUGCCCGGCCUUCAAAGCCGGCGUUCCCGACUCUGUUUGGGAAGCUGGGUUCGACUCCCAGGCGUUCCCG
rnacentral:tRNA from 1 species